rnacentral:rRNA from 1 species
CUCUAGUGACCGAUAGUGAACCAGUACCGUGAGGGAAAGGUGAAAAGUACCCCGGAAGGGGAGUGAAAGAGAACUUGAAACCGUGUGCUUACAAGUAGUCAGAGCCCGUUAAUGGGUGAUGGCGUGCCUUUUGUAGAAUGAACCGGCGAGUUACGAUCUGAUGCAAGGUUAAGCAGCAAAUGUGGAGCCGCAGCGAAAGCGAGUCUGAAUAGGGCGUUGAGUAUUUGGUCGUAGACCCGAAACCAGGUGAUCUACCCUUGGUCAGGUUGAAGUUCAGGUAACACUGAAUGGAGGACCGAACCGACUUACGUUGAAAAGUGAGCGGAUGAACUGAGGGUAGCGGAGAAAUUCCAAUCGAACUUGGAGAUAGCUGGUUCUCUCCGAAAUAGCUUUAGGGCUAGCCUCAAGUGAUGAUUAUUGGAGGUAGAGCACUGUUUGGACGAGGGGCCCCUCUCGGGUUACCGAAUUCAGACAAACUCCGAAUGCCAAUUAAUUUAACUUGGGAGUCAGAACAUGGGUGAUAAGGUCCGUGUUCGAAAGGGAAACAGCCCAGACCACCAGCUAAGGUCCCAAAAUAUAUGUUAAGUGGAAAAGGAUGUGGCGUUGCCCAGACAACUAGGAUGUUGGCUUAGAAGCAGCCAUCAUUUAAAGAGUGCGUAAUAGCUCACUAGUCGAGUGACACUGCGCCG